UACGUAGGGGUCGAGCGUUGUCCGGAGUUACUGGGCGUAAAGCGUGUGUAGGCGGCUCAUUGCGCCCGGCGUGAAAGCCCCCGGCUCAACCGGGGAGAGUCGUCGGGGACGGGUGAGCUUGAGGGUAUCAGGGGCUGGUGGAAUUCCCGGUGUAGUGGUGAAAUGCGUAGAUAUCGGGAGGAACACCCGUGGCGAAGGCGGCCAGCUGGGAUACACCUGACGCUGAGACACGAAGGCGUGGGGAGCGAACGGG
rnacentral:rRNA from 1 species